UCCAAUCUUGCGCCGUCUCCUUCCUUUCACCGUCUCGAUCCAAUCUGCUAGCAUCCCCUCCGCUGCUCCUCUCCAACAGCCCCCAUGCUCCCACUCCCGCCCCGUCCACCUCCGCCGCCCCCACCAUCGACGCAACAACCUCCGCCACCGCCGCCAUCGAGACCGCGGAGGAAGCCGUUGCAGCACCGGUGGUGGAAGAGGCGCCGCCGACGCCGCAGGCAGCCGCGCUCGGUAGGAGCAGCCUCUGCACGGGACAAAUCUCCACAUGAUCUGGUGACGCAAGCGGUCGACCCACCUGAAGAACUCCGUGUCAUGCGGCUGCUCUUCUGGACGCUCUCUGCGCUGCUCGUCCAUGGCGUGAUCUCCGCUGCCGCUACUUCCAACCACGCUGACCUCUUGCUCCAGUUCUUUCACUUGGCUUACAGCUGGCCGGGUUCUGGGCUUCUGGCCGGAGCCAGCCAUCGUGACGCUCCUCUACCACGCCCGCUGCAUCCUCCUCGAGACCAUGCCGCCCUUCUCUGUUUCCCUGACGAGGCCAUUGUCGCAGGCAUUUUGCGGCGCUGCUCCCAUCCAGAUGCUUUGUUGAGUGGACAUGUUCAGCGUGUGUGGGAUUUCUCAAGUUCAAAGCUGACAUCGUCGAUGAGACUGAACCCAAGGCUGAAGGUGGAGGAGGGCGUGGACGGGUUUUGGUCCCAGCAUUGCACUCGGAGAUGCUCUAAUAUUUAAGGAAUCAUUGUUUCUUAUAUUAUAUUUUAUCACAUUGCCAUCAAAUUAAAUUGCUUGAUUGAGUAAAUAGCUUCAUAAUGUACUAGUAAAUCUUUGCUACCAUUAUUGGCAAGUUUUUGUAAGUAAUCUUUCUAGUCAAGCACUUGUGUAUCACCUAUAGUAAUCUUAAGUUUUGCCAUUUUUCUCUUCUGAAUUUUCUCAUCUUGUUUUCAUAGGCUUGCUGGCUGCGUCUUCUAUGCUACUUGGUUCAGGUACUACAAUCAUGCCACUAGUUCGGGAGAGUGAGAGGGAAAGGAGGGCAUUCUUGGCGGAACAUAAACGCAUGGGUGAUGUGUAUGCUAAGCUAAGGGGUGCAUUGAUUACAUGCAUCAAGAGGAGUUAGCCGCAAGAAUUGAAGCACAAGAGAGAUCAUUUGAAGAGAUACAAAAGAAGCAGCAAGAAGAAUUGGAAGCUCUAAAGAAGAUCCAACAAGAGAAGAAUGAAGCCUAGGCAAAGAAGCAAAAGGAGAUGGAUAAUCUGCUUGAUUUUCUCUUGAGGGCUCAAGCAACUUAGCAACCAACUUUGCAGUCCCAGUCCAAACCAGAUGGUUCAUGAAAGCCAUCCUUACAUUGCAAUCAUUAGGACAACAUAUGUGGUCUUUAGUUAAUAUUAGUUUUCAUGCUGACUAAGGCAUAGCCCGGUGGUGUGAAGAGGUUGAUGCCUUCCCACCCACCCACGUUCAAGGCAUAGUACUUGCAAUUUGGGUUUGUUGCACCAAUUAUACUGUAGGGGGUUCCCUAUAGUCUUUCUGUCAAAAAAAUAUAUAUUAGUUUUCAUCUUA